CGGCCCCAGGGGGGGCCCAGUGGGAAUCUUCCACAAUGGACGCAAGUCUGAUGGAGCAACGCCGCGUGAGUGAAGAAGGGUUUCGGCUCGUAAAGCUCUGUUGGUAGUGAAGAAAGAUAGAGGUAGUAACUGGCCUUUAUUUGACGGUAAUUACUUAGAAAGUCACGGCUAACUACGUGCCAGCAGCCGCGGUAAUACGUAGGUGGCAAGCGUUGUCCGGAUUUAUUGGGCGUAAAGCGAGUGCAGGCGGUUCAAUAAGUCUGAUGUGAAAGCCUUCGGCUCAACCGGAGAAUUGCAUCAGAAACUGUUGAACUUGAGUGCAGAAGAGGAGAGUGGAACUCCAUGUGUAGCGGUGGAAUGCGUAGAUAUAUGGAAGAACACCAGUGGCGAAGGCGGCUCUCUGGUCUGCAACUGACGCUGAGGCUCGAAAGCAUGGGUAGCGAACAGGAUUAGAUACCCUGGUAGUCCAUGCCGUAAACGAUGAGUGCUAAGUGUUGGGAGGUUUCCGCCUCUCAGUGCUGCAGCUAACGCAUUAAGCACUCCGCCUGGAGACACCA
rnacentral:rRNA from 1 species